rnacentral:rRNA from 1 species
UACGUAGGGACCAAGCGUUGUCCGGAAUCAUUGGGCGUAAAGAGCGUGUAGGCGGCUUGUUAAGUCUUGCGUGAAAUCUCGGGGCUCAACCCCGAGCGGUCGUGAGAAACUGGCAGGCUAGAGUGCGGGAGAGGAGACUGGAAUUCCUGGUGUAGCGGUGAAAUGCGCAGAUAUCAGGAGGAACACCGAUGGCGAAGGCAGGUCUCUGGGCCACUACUGACGCUGAGAAGCGAAAGCUGGGGAGCGAACAGG